CGCCUGCGAGGGCUCGGGUCCUCGCUUAGUCCCCAGGGUCCUGUGGGGGCCUUCGUAAGAGGGUGGAGCCACGUAGGGUGGCGGCCGGUCCCAGCGGCGUCGCGGGGCCAUUCCGGCAGCACCUCUCAGCAGCAGGUGAGCUUCGUAGCUGGGGGGCCCUGGCCGCCGACCUCCCCAGGGCCCCGCCCACGCCGCCCCUGGAUUGCUCUGCGGCUGCGCGGAUGGACGGGGCGGUCGCCCCACGGACCCCAGGCGCUCCGGCCGUGAGAGAGCUGGGAGCCCUGCAGGCUGGGCCACCCGAGGGGCGUUCCGAGGCUCCGGGCGGGGCCGACCAGGGGGACUCCUUCGGGCCCCACCAGCCUUGCGCCUUUUUCGCUCAGUCUCCUUGGCCUCCCGCUCCUGCGAUGCCGCUUUCCUUUUCUCUUGCUCCCGGGCUCGGGCCUCGGCCGGGGGCCCCGCCCGCCAGUUGGUCGCCUCCUGCAGCACCCUGGAGGCCCAGGGCCGGCGGGGCGGCGGCUCAGGGGAUCCCGGGCGCGGCCCACACCUGGGACAAUGAGCAGGAACCCAGGCCCCUCAAACCACCUUUGGAUACCCCUCCGACAAGUAUGUAAGAAGUAAAAACUGGGCUGAGGAGCACUUACAAACAACUUGAGGAAUUUGAGGAUGCGCUUGUGCGUGAGGAUGUACAAGGUGUUGCCUGAUUCCGGGUCAAUAACUGGCAGCCUGUGGAUCUUGUUUCGAAUUAAUGAAGAGACAGCAUCAAACAAGCUGUGGGAAGGUAGGGGAUAAUGGCAUUAACUAUUAUCAUGCAAGGAAGAUGAGAGGCAUUAUCUAUUAUCAUGCAAGGAAGAUGAGCAUUUUCAAUUCUCUUUCCUACCAGGACCCCAUUAUAAACAUGCACCUCCCAUCACUCCGUUCUCCCAGAAGUUAAACUGUAAGCAUGUGGGACCUUAGUUCCCCAACCAGGGAUGGAACCUGCACCCCCUGCAUUGGAAGCACAGAGUCUUAAUCACUGGACCACCAGGGAAGUCCCUACCAGGGA